GUGUUCUCACUUUUAGUUUUAUAAUUAGAAGUUAAUUAACUUUUUAAUUGUUGUUGCGGUGUAUUUGUUACUGAGCGUGUCGUAAAGCAUCGGCAUAUUAACGUUACUGAGGUGAAGUUAGCAGCUGUAAGAACGUUAAAUCUGAGGUACAAUGUGUUUAGAGUACUUUAUGCCUUCAACAGGAGCUGGCAGAGUAAAUGGGUGCGUUUACAUGCACCCUCUUAAUGCGAUUAUGAUGCGAUUUUGGCUAUAUUGCGAUUAAUCUUUACCUCAUGUAAACGCAAUACUUCGAUCUAAAUAAUACGAUUAAGCUCAUAAUCACAGCAAGCAUAAUCGUAUUAACAUAGGUGGCAUACGCCGAUUUUAAUCGAAAUACACAGGCAUGUAAACACCUUAAUCGCAGUAUUGCAGCUCUGACCAAAGUGCGCAUGCGCUUGUGACAUAUGAAUAACGUGACACGCACCUGUAAUAAUACGGAGAUUAGAAACGAUGGAGGGGAAGAAAGCAUCGCAUUCUGAGGAAAACACAACAAGCUGCCAGCAGUCUCUGUUCCUUACCCUCAUCCAGAAACGGCGAGUAGAACGCGACGGCAGCGUAUAAUCAAACUAAUUCUAUCACAUUUCUAUGGCGCCGAAAAAGCGUGGAAUACAGCCAUACAAAAUCAUUAUGCAUUAGACGUAAAUAAAUUAAAACCGCGACCAACACUGCUCUUUCUUAUUAUUCGCUAAGAAUUGUGGUUAAUUUUUUUUUACUGCCAUUAUUCACAUACCCCACUGGACUUUUUCGGCGCCAUGAUAGAAAUAUGAUGGAAUUUGUUUGCCUAUACGCUGCCGUCGCGUUCUGUUCGUCCUUUCUUUUGUUUUCUUUUCUAAUGACAGGUCUAAUUGCUGCUGUACUGUACACCCCAAGCACCCCCUGCAUUCUUAUCAUGGAUUGCUGUCAUUCAAGAAGUUAUCAUUUCCUCCCAUUGUGGCUGAGCUACACAUUCUCUUUGUUUUAUUUUAAACAUAAAAAAUCCAGAGGAGAUGGCACCUACGCUGGAAUCCAUACAAAUUCUUCCUGUGAAGAAAUCCUGAACGAGGGUCAAAGGUUGAGAUGAUGGGAACCUACGCUUCCAAGACUUUUAGAAUCCAUGUACAAUUUGAGCUUUUUUCAGAUCUCAACAUGGAACUUGGACUGAACAUGCAGAAAAAAAGGAGUUUCCACAAACUGGCACAUGGCAAGAGAUACUAAAAGCACACAAGUUUAGUUUAGUAUAGUUGUAUAGUAUAGUUUCACAUUGAAAUGUGAGGCAUGAGUGCAGGAAUCUUUGUUUUUUUUAUUUUCAAAUGCUGUACAAGAAAGUAUUUUUUGCAGUACCAUGUCAAUUGUAGAUGCAGAUAAUUUAGCAUGAAUUAGAGGUUAGUAAUCUAACUUAAAGGUUUAGUUCACCCAAAAUGUUAUAUGAAAAAUCUUGUUCCAAUCCUGUUAGACAUUUGUUCAUUUUUGGAACACUAAUGAAGAUCCUUUAUAAUGAAAUCUGACAGCUAUACCUUAUUGGACCUUGAAAUGGUAGUUGUCAAUGGAGGGACAGAAAGCAAAAAAUACUAAAAUUUAAAAAUACUCUUUGUUUGUGUUCCAAAGAUGAAUGAAAAUCUUAUGGAUUUGGAACGGUAUGAGGGUGAGUAACUGAUGACAGAAUUCACAUUUUUGGGUGAACUGUCCUUUUAAAUAAUAUUGUGUUUUUCUAUGCAGAUGUUAAAUGGUGUGAACACUGGAACAUUUCACUUGACUAUUGACUGUAAGUCUAUAGCAAUUGUUAUUAAUGACAGCCCUGUCUUUGUAUUAAUUUAUUUCCCCCAUGUAUUUGAAAAUAUUUUGAAUCUUGACUGUUUCACAAUGAAGUUUAUCUUUGUGACCACUAUUUGGAGCAACACCAAUAUUGUACAUGUUAAGUACCUGCUCAUGUUUUCUUUUUUCUGCAUGUUGCUGUUUAAAACUAAAAAGUGUUCCACAAUACAAGCAUUUUCAGUGGUGCUUUACACAUUGUUAAAUUAAUUGAUGUAAUAAUAUUUUUGUCUUCACCUGUUUAAGGCAAAUAAAAGCUACUGAACACACUUUUAAGAAUGUUUACAUGAGGUAAAAAUAAACCAUGUUCAAUGUGUAUAUAUUGUGCUGGAUUUAUUUGCUACUAAAGAUAGGCCUAUGCUAUAAUUUUUUAGAAAUUUCUGCAUUAAGGGUUGUCCGUUUAUGGUACAGAAGAAAAUGUAAAUCUACAGAAUUUUCCGUUCUAAUGUUGAAGGAAAAUGUCUGUAAAUUUAACAGAAAAUGUCCUGGUAAUUUUCUGCCAGUACAUUAUCCGUUUUUUUACGGAAUUUUUUUUACAGUGUAACUUAAAAAGUUACAUUUCUGCAUUUUAUAUCACAUUGUUUGCAUAGUUGGCUUUGCUGGAUAAUUAAAUGAAAUCUAAAACUAGCAUUUGGAAGUCAAAUUCAUUUCAGUAAAUUAGUUUAUUCAGUUGGUUCAAAUGUUCAUCUAUGCAUCUGAUGUGUAGAAGUCCCUUCUUGUGUCAUGAAACAAACAUUCAACCUGUUUUCUAUGUCUAAAUGCAUGUUAUUGAUCUUAUUGUGAAAGAUACAUUCAUGUAUACUUAGAAUUUUUUUUAUUUAUGUAUUUAAUUUUUUUUAAAAAUAGCACAGCUCAAUCUUUAGGCGAAAAACGUCAGACUUCUCUCUUUGGUGAUGUUUUGUGAACUUCUCCAGUCUUUUAGUCCAUUUAAACCCGUCCCUGUAAACUCACGUUAAUCUAUGUAGCUUCUGCGAUGGGGCCACAUGGAUACGUGGUUUAAAAUCACUGUUUAACAUCCAAAUAUUUUAUAUGCAACUUCACUACUUCUGAUUGUAAGCAACAUUCCAAAUGAAGCCCUAACAAGGCCAACGAACAGAUUAAUUUUAUUUUUUUUUACUAAACUAUUUCCCGUUGUUUUAUUUUCCCAUGGGAUCAUGGGUUGUCAAUCCUUUGUGACUAAUGUACAGAAUUCUGUCAAUACUGAAAAUCCUCUUAUAAACAAUGUCUCUAUCUCCACUUUCGCUCUUCUUCCCUGAGGGGCAUUCUGGUGAUGGGAGCAUAAGCCAAGGUUAACUAGUGCAAACAGAGGGUCCCAUGGGAAACCAUGUUCUCCCACUGCAGCCCAAUAGUGUUUGUAAAUCAUGUCUUUAGGGACAAGUCCAAAAAAACAAUACAGUACGUAGGGAAAGACAUAUUCUUGUUUAUAAAGGGUCAAAUGGUGUCAAGACUAGCAGAUAACAGCAAACAUGAUCUAUAAUUAUUUUUAAAAUUAAGUCUUUUUUUUUUUUUUUUUUGUGAAGCAAAUAAAACCACAGGUCUGAUUAUCAGCAAUGAGAACUUUCCUAACUCUGCUUCUAUUA